GGAGUUAUGAAAUGUAAGUGCGCUAAUAUCGCAUUUAUUUGACGAAGGCUCCAAAGGAAGCCACGGCUAACUCUGUGCCAGCAGCCGCGGUAAUACAGAGGUGGCAAGCGUUGUUCGGAAUUAUUGGGCGUAAAGAGCACGUAGGUGGGUUUGUAAGUCAGAUGUGAAAGCCUUCUGUUCAACGGAAGAAUUGCAUCUGAAACUACAAGUCUUGAGUGUAGGAGGGGAGAGUGGAACUUCUG
rnacentral:rRNA from 1 species